rnacentral:rRNA from 1 species
GACAGAGGUGCCGAGCGUUAGGCGGAAUCCCUGGGCUUAAAGCGUGUGUAGGCGGGCGAUCAAGUACCUUGUGAAAUCCCACGGCUCAACCGUGGAACCGCUGGGUAUACUGGUUGUCUUGAGCCGGCUAGGGGCGAGCGGAACAGACGGUGGAGCGGUGAAAUGCGUAGAUAUCGUCUGGAACGCCGAAGGUGAAAACAGCUCGCUGGGGCCGCGCUGACGCUGAGACACGAAAGCCAGGGGAGCGAACGGG